rnacentral:rRNA from 1 species
GACGAACGCUGGCGGCGUGCUUAGCACAUGCAAGUCGAGCGGUAAGGCCCUUUCGGGGGUACACGAGCGGCGAACGGGUGAGUAACGCGUGGGUGACCUGCCUUCGAGCGGGGGAUAACGUUCCGAAAGGGACGCUAAUACCGCAUAACAUCCUGCCUUUUAAGAGGUGGAGAUCAAAGCCGGGGAUCGCAAGACCUAGCACUUGAAGAGGGGCCCGUGUCUGAUUAGCUAGUUGGUGAGGUAACGGCUCACCAAGGCGACGAUCAGUAUCCGGCCUGAGAGGGCGGACGGACACACUGGGACUGAGACACGGCCCAGACUCCUACGGGAGGCAGCAGUGGGGAAUUGUUCGCAAUGGGCGCAAGCCUGACGACGC